UACGGGGGGGGCAAGCGUUGUUCGGAAUUACUGGGCGUAAAGGGCUCGUAGGCGGCCAACUAAGUCAGACGUGAAAUCCCUCGGCUUAACCGGGGAACUGCGUCUGAUACUGGAUGGCUUGAGGUUGGGAGAGGGAUGCGGAAUUCCAGGUGUAGCGGUGAAAUGCGCAGAUAUCAGGAAGAACACCCGUGGCUAAGGCGGCUCUCUAGUACGGUACUGACGCUGAGACGCGAAAGCGUGGGGAGCGAACAGG
rnacentral:rRNA from 1 species